UAUUGCCAAUGAUACAGAAAUGCUGGAUACUGAAGACUUUCAAGAAGCUCAAGAUCCUUAUAGUGAUCUUAAUAAAUUCUUACUUGAAGAUAUUAGUCAUGAAUAGAAUGGCAAAACAAAUGCGUAAUGACGCAUGCCAUGAUGUAAUUAGAUUAGUACUAUUUACUUUUUGACUUUUGUUGCUUUUGCUUUUUGAAAAUUAUGGCUUGUUGUCGGAAGCCUUUUGCUAUAAAUAUGUAAGGUCCUCACUUGUUAGAGGCACCAAGUUUUAGAAGCAUAAGUGUUUGUAAUCAUAUGCUCCCUCUUCUUGUAAAAAAUCCUCUCUUGUUCGUGUGUUCAAAGAAAUAUUGAAGAAAUUCUUCAUAAUAGGGAAAGGAUACAGAUCAGAGGAAUCGACCCUACCAGCGCGACAAGUAUGGCAGAAGAAGUACACUUGUCAGAAGAAUCAUCCUCAUCAGAGGAGUCAUGCUAGUCAAAAGAAUUAUACUCACCAGAGGGAUUUCAUUUAUUGGAGACAUCUCACCCACCAGAAGAAUGGCUUUUGCCAGAGGAAUCAUGUUAGCCAGAGAAGUCACCCUCGCCAGAGAAGUCGCCAUCACCAAAGAAGUCACCCUCGCCAGAAAAAGUCACCCUCGCCAGAGAAAUCAUCUUCGUCAGAGGAGCUAUCUUCAUCAGCGGAAUCACCAGAAACGCGGGAGAAUCCCCGAGUGAAGAUGAAAUUCCCGAUAUGCCCUUCGAUCACGUCAAAAGCAUGCGCUAGCACCGAUUUUACUAUUUUACCCUUCCCUGUAUUCUAUAAAUAGGCUUCGCACUCGUGUUUUGUAGUCACGCUAUCAUUCACUUUUGAAUACAACAGUUAUAUUUUUCUCUCGUGCUCAA